rnacentral:piRNA from 1 species
UGACAGUAGUCACAAGAAUGUUAGGUCCCU